AGAGUUUGAUCCUGGCUCAGAUUGAACGCUGGCGGCAUGCCUUACACAUGCAAGUCGAACGGCAGCGGACCUUCGGGUGCCGGCGAGUGGCGAACGGGUGAGUAAAGCGUCGGAACGUACCCGGAAGUGGGGGAUAACUAUCCGAAAGGAUAGCUAAUACCGCAUAUUCUGUGCGCAGGAAAGCAGGGGACCGCAAGGCCUUGUGCUUCCGGAGCGGCCGAUGUCAGAUUAGCUAGUUGGUGAGGUAAAGGCUCACCAAGGCGACGAUCUGUAGCGGGUCUGAGAGGAUGAUCCGCCACACUGGAACUGAGACACGGUCCAGACUCCUACGGGAGGCAGCAGUGGGGAAUUUUGGACAAUGGGGGCAACCCUGAUCCAGCCAUGCCGCGUGAGUGAAGAAGGCCUUCGGGUUGUAAAGCUCUUUCAGACGGAA
rnacentral:rRNA from 1 species